CACCCACAACGGUUAAUUUUCAAUUUUCAGUUUCCAUAUUGGUAUGGCAUUCGCUAAAGGAAUUGAUUGAACCCCUAAAUCAACCAAGAAAUUGAAUUAAAAGCGUUACCCUUUUUCUUUUUCAGCCGCCCCAAUUGCAAAAACCCCAAGCUAUGAAUUUUCACUGAUUCACCAAUUUCUUCACUCGAAUUGCAAUGGGGGUUGGAGGCCACUUCUGGGAUUUGCUCAAACCCUACGCCCGAUUCCAAGGCUUUGAUUUCCUCAGAAACAAACGCGUUGCAGUGGAUUUGUCGUAUUGGAUUGUGCAGCAGGAGACCGCCAUUAAAGGGUACAUUAGAAACUCCCAUAUUCGCACAACCUUUUUCCGAACGGUCAAUCUUUUCUCCAAGUUUGGAGCCUACCCGGUCUUUGUACUCGAUGGGACUCCGUCCCCGUUAAAAUCUCAGGCAAGGAUAAUGCGGUACUUCCGAUCAUCUGGUAUGGACAUGUCAAGUUUGCCAGAAGCAGAGAAAGGUGUAUCAGUUGAAAGGAAUCGAGCCUUUAAGAAAUGUAUUGAAGAAUGUGUGGAAUUGCUCGAACUCCUUGGAAUGCCUAUAUUGAAAGCCAAAGGAGAAGCUGAAGCUCUCUGUGCUCAGUUAAAUAGGGAAGGACAUGUCGAUGCUUGUAUCACUGCUGACAGUGAUGCAUUUCUAUAUGGUGCCCAGUGUGUGGUAAAGCGAAUCCAGCCAAACUCGAAAGAGCCGUUUGAGUGCUACCAUAUAUCUGAUAUUGAGACAGGUCUUGGUCUAAGGAGAAAUCACUUGAUAGCUAUUUCUUUGAUGGUUGGAAGCGAUCAUGAUUUAAAUGGUAUAAAUGGAAUUGGGCUUGAAACUGCAGUUCGCUUUGUCAAAAUUUUUAGUGAAGAUGAAAUAUUGAACAGGCUGCAUGACGUAGCCAAAGGAGAACCACUGGUGAUCCAGGGACACAAUACUGCUGAAGAUGAAUCUGCAAGCUGUUCGAAUGAUAAAUCCUUGAAGCUAAGAAUACCUCACUGUUCUCACUGUGGCCAUCCAGGAAAUAAAAAAGCCCAUCUCAAGUUUUCUUGUGAACAUUGCAACUCAACUGCUGGCCAGAGUUGUUCUCACAAACCAGCCGGAUUCAAAUGUUUGUGCACUUCAUGUGACUUGGACAGAGAAGAAAAAGCUAAGCAGAAAGACGCCUCCUGGAAACUUACAGUUUGCCGAAAGAUUGCAUCACAGGAAAAUUUUCCAAAUGAUGAAAUUGUACAGAUGUACCUGAGCAACCAUAAUGGAAUUGACGAUAGGCCACAUUUACGAUGGGCAAGUCCCAACACGGAAAUGCUGGUUGAUUACCUUGCUUAUCAGCAACACUGGGAACCAUCUUAUAUUAGGCAAAGAAUACUACCAAUGUUAUCAACAUUAUAUUUACGAGAUAUGGCCUCAGCCCCAACCAGUGACUUACUAUAUGGAUCGUACAAGUUUCAUAGCAUUCAGCGUGUUAAGACAAGAUACGGACAUCAAUCCUAUGUUGUUAAAUGGAAGAAGGCUGCUGCCAGUUUGAGGGAUGCUGCCAACCCAAUUCCUCAAGAAUCUGAUUUACCGUUGGUAGUAGACCUCGAUGAACCUUUUGAUUUGACUGAAGAUACGGAUGCUCCUUAUAUUCAUAUUGAAAAUGGAGGUUGUUUUUUGUCGACUGAUGAAGAUAUGGAGCUUGUACAGAAGGCUUUUCCAGAGGAAGCCAACCAAUUUUUGAAGGAAAAGGAGUUGAAAGAAAUGGUGUUGAAAAGAAAGAAAUCAAACUCGGGCACUGAAGCAACACCUGAAAAAACAGAAUCAUCCACAUCCAGCGGAGUGCAGCUAAGCAUUAAAGAGUUUUAUCGUUCCUCCAAACUGCGUAACUCAAGCAAGCCUGAGGAGGAUUCCGAGAAGGGAUCUGGUUCCUCCAACGACAAAAGGAGAGAUCCAAGUCCAAGAUUUUCCAAGUCCGCCAGACGGCGCCUUCUAUUUGAUUGAUUCCGCCACCCUCUCGUGACACUUUGCUUCUGUAAAUUAACCUGCAUUAGUCUAACAUAAGAUAUCACCUGUUUCUGAUGCUGCCAUUGUUGAAACGAACAAGGCUUCUUCCUCGAUUGAGGAUGCAGAGUGCUUGAACCAGAAACAGAAGACUGAGGAGUUACGGCAGGAGAGAAGUGAAGAUAGCAACGACAAUCACCGGAAAGGGUUGAAGCCAAGGCUUACUUGGACAAAAGAAAUGCAUCAGAAGUUCUUGGAUGCCAUUGAAAUAUUGGGAAAUGGCAUUUCGUCUUGUUUUGGCAGAUGCGGUUCCCAAGAAAAUAGUUGAAGUUAUGGGCGUUCCCAGGCUUAGCAGGGAGAACGUUGCUAGCCAUUUGCAGAAAUAUCGUUUCAUGAAACAAGCGGAAUAUUUCCCGCGCUCACGUGCCAGUGAUAAUGCGAGAAACAUGAUGCAACUCAGAGCGAUAAACAUGAUGCAACUGAGAGCGAAACAAUAUUGUUCAUCUUCUGACAACUCCAACACCAGCGAAGGUGGAAAUCAUGAUUAAUGGAAUACAAAAGACAUACCACCAGUUUAAUAUAUUACAAGAAUUUUAUGACAUCGUUUUAGUAAAGAUGACUAGCCAUAUAUAGUAUACAUAUAUAUCAACUUGU